UUCUACUUUGAUGCUUUUAUUUAUUUCUUUUUUAUAAUGGCUGAUAAUUAAACAUCAUAAUUUACUCUAUUCUCCUAAAGCAGCCGGGUGUGUUCCUUCUGAAACUCUCUAUCUAGUCACUUCAUACACAUUCGCAUUCUGUUUUGUGACAUUUCCCCCUCACAGCUCUUGUGUCCCCACUUGAACUGCAGAAGUUUUUUGGAGAGGAUUUGGCUUGCUUAUAAUUAAUGACUUAAAACUCAAUAACUGGAAAAAAAUAUCUUAAUUAGCUAAAGAAGAAAGAUCUGUAUCUGUUUCUGAGCUGGGAGCUGUCAACAUUGAUGUCAUUUUCCUGCAGAUAUCCAAAUAUAUUUUAGUAAAUGUUUUGUCUUCUUUUCUUCUUGUCUUCCUGCUCCAUUUGUAGCUAGAAUCUCUCAUGGGAUGUAGGCAACUUCAGUGAAAUUCAUUAGGAAUUAUACUUUGCAACUGGAGAGCAGAGCCCAUGACUGGACUGAAGCCAGCGUUCUUUAAAAGUUCACAUGCCUUAUACUGACUCCCUAAUUUAGGCUCCUUCUGACCAAGGAAGAAAAACUGGGAAAAGACUAAAUAGUAGUAGCAGUUUCGUUUAAAGAUGGGGAAAAAAAAGCAAUUGUUACCACCACCUACAAAAAAGAACUGUGGGUUAGCAUAAUAUUAUGUAAACUGUAUUUCAUUUGUGCUUUCAUCAGAAAUGAGUAAGUAGAGCCAUAUAUGCUGCGAAUUUUAAGAAUGUUAAUGGGAUGCCUGCAUAGCAUUGUACUUAAGAGUACUUCUGCCAGAAUAGGAAAGCCUUUUAUUCUGUAAUGCCUCGAGGCAAGAAAAAGGCUUUCUGAAGAGUUGCUUUAAUUUUAAACUCUCAUUCUAAUGUUAGACAGCCUGUUAGAUCUCCGAGUUAAAAACCGCUUCAGCUUUACUUACUAGAGCCAGAUGUAACAUUGACCUUAAAUGGUAAAAGCUCCCGAGAGUGAAAGAGAGGCUGGCCUGAGGGGAAAAAGGGGAAUAACUGAAGUUUUAGAAGCUGUACGUGGGGAAUUUGGCUUUGAGCCCCUGCUUUUGGAAUCUUCAGCAAAGUUUCCAGUGACUUCAGUGGUGCAGAGAUCAUGUUCCUAA
ensembl:lncRNA